AGUUGCCUACGGGAGGCAGCAGUGAGGAAUAUUGGUCAAUGGGCGGAAGCCUGAACCAGCCAAGUCGCGUGAGGGAAGAAGGCCCUGCGGGUCGCAGACCUCUUUGGACGGGGAGCAAGGCCGCCGACGUGUCGGCGGAAGGAGAGUACCCGUAGAACAAGCAUUGGCUAACUCCGUGCCAGCAGCCGCGGUAAUACGGAGGAUGCGAGCGUUAUCCGGAUUUAUUGGGUUUAAAGGGUGCGCAGGCGGCAAGGCAAGCCGGCGGUCAAAUGGCGGGGGUAAAACGAGCGCAGGCGUCGG
rnacentral:rRNA from 1 species